rnacentral:rRNA from 1 species
CGGGGUGAGUAAUGUAUGGGGAUCUGCCUGAUGGGGGGGGAUAACUACUGGAAACGGUAGCUAAUACCGCAUAAUGUCUACGGACCAAAGCGGGGGACCUCCGGGCCUCGCGCCAUCAGAUGAACCCAUAUGGGAUUAGCUAGUAGGUGGGGUAACGGCUCACCUAGGCGACGAUCCCUAGCUGGUCUGAGAGGAUGACCAGCCACACUGGAACUGAGACACGGUCCAG